AACGAACGCUGGCGGCAGGCUUAACACAUGCAAGUCGAACGCAUCCUUCGGGGUGAGUGGCAGACGGGUGAGUAACGCGUGGGAACGUGCCCUUCAGUUCGGGAUAACCCAGUGAAACUUGGGCUAAUACCGGAUACGUGCGAGAGCAGAAAGAUUUAUCGCUGAAGGAUCGGCCCGCGUCUGAUUAGCUAGUGGGUGGGGUAAUGGCCCACCAAGGCGACGAUCAGUAGCUUGUCUGAGAGGAUGACAAGCCACAUUGGGACGGAGACACGGCCCAAGCUCCUGCGGGAGGCAGCAGUGGGGAAUAUUGGACAAUGGGCGCAAGCCUGGUCCAGCCAUGCCGCGUGAGUGAUGAAGGCCUUAGGGUUGUAAAGCUCUUUCGUCCGGGACGAUAAUGACGGUACCGGAAGAAGAAGCCCCGGCUAACUUCGUGCCAGCCGCCGCCGUAACAC
rnacentral:rRNA from 1 species